GCGGCCGCUUACCCUGACUCACCCGUGGAGUUACCCGCUCGCCUACAGAAAGGCGCGAUGCGGCGCCGCUUCUGGGGCGUGUUCAACUGUCUGUGCGCCGGGGCGUUCGGGGCUCUGGCCGCCGCCGCCGCCAAGCUGGCCUUCGGGAGCCAGGUCAAUAUUGGCUUAUGUGUCUUAGGCAUCGUUGCCAUGGCAAGCGCCAAUUCUCUGAUGUGGACCUUCUUUAGCCGGGGCCUCAGUUUCUCUAUGUCUUCAGCCAUUGCAUCUGUCACAGUGACUUUCUCGAACAUACUUUGCUCGUGCUUAUCAUUUACGCUGUGAAUGUGGAGAGAAAGCUGAAUGCUGCUGCCCACCACACAUCCGAGUACCAGACCAAGAAGCUCGUGCUGAGGCGUGGACAGAUAUUCACUCUGAAGGUGAUACUGAACCGACCUCUCCAACCUCAGGAUGAGCUGAAGGUGACAUUCACUUCCGGACAGAGAGACCCACCCUACAUGGUGGAGCUUGAUCCAGUGACAUCCUACCGUUCUAAGGGCUGGCAGGUGAAGAUUGCCAAACAGUCUGGCGUAGAGGUUAUUCUGAAUGUCAUCAGUGCUGCUGACGCCGU
rnacentral:lncRNA from 1 species